CAAAUACUCCCUCCGUCCAGAAAUACUUGUCAUCAAAAUGGAUAAAAGGAAAUGUAUCGAUACAUAUUUUAGUUUUAGAUACAUCUAUUUUUAUCCAUUUUGUUGACAAGUAUCUUCGGACGGAGGGAGUAGAAA
rfam:Triticum aestivum genome assembly, contig: Triticum_aestivum_CS42_TGACv1_scaffold_576944_7BL